CUACUGCAGCAAUGGCUUUCAGGCAA
rnacentral:misc_RNA from 1 species